rnacentral:rRNA from 1 species
UACAGAGGUCCCAAGCGUUACUGAGAAUCACUGGGUUUAAAGGGUGCGUAGGUGGUCCGUUAAGUCAGUUGUGAAAUCCCCGGGCUCAACCCGGGAACUGCUUCUGAUACUGGCGGACUUGAGGCCAGUAGGGGUCACUAGAACUGACGGUGGAGCGGUGAAAUGCGUAGAUAUCGUCAGGAAUGCCGGUGGUGAAGACGGGUGACUGGGCUGGUUCUGACACUGGGGCACGAAAGCGUGGGGAGCGAACGGG